rnacentral:misc_RNA from 1 species
UCUCCGUUGGUGAACCAGCGGAGGGAUCAUUGCUGGAACGCGCUUCGGCGCACCCAGAAACCCUUUGUGAACUUAUACCUAUUGUUGCCUCGGCGUAGGCCGGCCUCUUCACUGAGGCCCCCUGGAAACAGGGAGCAGCCCGCCGGCGGCCCCUACCAAACCUCUUGUUUUUACAGUGUCUCCUCUGAGUUACAAACACAAAUGAAUCAAAACUUUCAACAACGGAUCUCUUGGUUCUGGCAUCGAUGAAGAACGCAGC